AUUGAACGCUGGCGGCAGGCCUAACACAUGCAAGUCGAACGAGUGGCGGACGGGUGAGUAAUGUCUGGGAAACUGCCUGAUGGAGGGGGAUAACUACUGGAAACGGUAGCUAAUACCGCAUACCAUCGGAUGUGCCCAGAUGGGAUUAGCUAGUAGGUGGGGUAACGGCUCACCUAGGCGCCGAUCCCUAGCUGGUCUGAGAGGAUGACCAGCCAAACAGGAAGUGGGCCACGGUCCAGACUCCUACUGUGGGCAGCAGUGGGGAAUAUUGCACAUUGGGCGCAGGCCUGAUGCAGCCAUGCCGGGUGGAUGAAGAAGGCCUUGGGGUUGUAAAGUACUUUCAGCGGGGAGGCGUUACCCGCAGAAGAAGCACCGGCUAACUCCGUGCCAGCCGCCGCGGUAAUA
rnacentral:rRNA from 1 species